rnacentral:SRP_RNA from 1 species
GCAGGGCACAGUGGCGUGCGCUUGUGGUCCCAGCUACUCCGGAGGCUGAGGCAGGAGGAUCGCUUGAGCCCAGGAGUUCUGGGCUAUAGUGCGCUAUGUCGACUGGGUGUCCACACUAAGUUCGGCAUCAAUAUGGUGACCUCCUGGGAGCGGGGGACCACCAGGUUGCCUAAGGUAGUGGAUUCCAUGGAUUGAUUUGCGGUUGUCCAACCACCCUUGCAGCCCAGGCAUACAUUUGAUUUGGUCAUGGCAAAUCAUCCUUUU